ACGGCAGCGCGGGGAGCUUGCUCUCUGGCGGCGAGUGGCGGACGGGUGAGUAACGCAUGGGAAUCUGGCCGGUAGUGGGGGACAACUCGGGGAAACUCGAGCUAAUACCGCAUACGUCCUGAGGGAGAAAGCGGGGGACCAUUUGGCCUCGCGCUAUCGGAUGAGCCCAUGUCGGAUUAGCUAGUUGGUAAGGUAAGGGCUUACCAAGGCGACGAUCCGUAGCUGGUCUGAGAGGAUGAUCAGCCACACUGGGACUGAGACACGGCCCAGACUCCUACGGGAGGCAGCAGUAGGGAAUAUUGGACAAUGGGGGCAACCCUGAUCCAGCAAUGCCGCGUGGGUGAAGAAGGCCUGCGGGUUGUAAAGCCCUUUCGGUAGUGAAGAAAAGGCCCUGUGUAAAAUAGCAUGGGGGUGUUGACGUUAGCUACAGAAGAAGCACCGGCAAACUCUGUGCCAGCAGCCGCGGUAAUACAGAGGGUGCGAGCGUUAAUCGGAAUCACUGGGCGUAAAG
rnacentral:rRNA from 1 species